rnacentral:rRNA from 1 species
AUUAAGUCACAACGGCAAAAGAUGAGCAGUGCGUCCCAUUAGCUAGUUGGUAAGGUAACGGCUUACCAAGGCUACGAUGGGUAGGGGUCCUGAGAGGGGAGAUCCCCCCACACUGGUACUGAGACACGGACCAGACUCCUACGGGAGGCAGCAGUGAGGAAUAUUGGACAAUGGGCGCAAGCCUGAUCCAGCCAUGCCGCGUGCAGGAUGACGGUCCUAUGGAUUGUAAACUGCUUUUGUACAGGAAGAAACACUACUUCGUGAAGUAGCUUGACGGUACUGUAAGAAUAAGGAUCGGCUAACUCCGUG